GAAGCUUUGGCCGAGUAGUUAAGGCGGCGGGCUGCUCAGUAACUGGGCGAUGCCCGCGAAGGUUCGAAUACUUCAGGUGUCU